rnacentral:lncRNA from 1 species
AUGGAGGAAAUCAGAUAGUGUUGGUGCUGUCACAUGCCCUUUAUGUUGUCUUGAUUAUCCUGAAUCCACAGUCUGUUUUAAUGUCCUCAUUAUCCUUAUUAUUAUCAUUGUUUUAUCUUCUGACUCCAUUGCCCACCCUGGAGUGAGUUGCAGUAGAACUGUUACUAUGGGCAAAAGAGCCUCAGUUUGGGCAAUCUGAUCUUAGAUAAUUUAUCUCCAGCCAAAACAAACAUCCAGUAACUAUUCUGGGUGUUGAGAAAAAGAAAAAAAAUACAUAUAUAUAUAUAUUUGUAUGACUUUAAAAAAUGUACAUAACCAUCUAUUCAAAAUAAAUCUUCUCCCUUUUCCAGAUUCAUGGUCACCAACAGACGCAGUCCCCAAGAUGUCCCUACUCCAGCAUGGGUCAACCAUGACUGCAGUCCCUCGAGAAUGUCCCUGCCCUGGCCUAGCCACAGGGUGUCUGUUCAUGGGUGUCUGUAGCCUUUCUGGCCUUUUUUGUCCUCUCACCUCUCAAGAAUGUGUCUCCAACCCUAGCCACUGUUGGUUUCUUUCUUAAAUGUGUUUGAGCAGCAGCACAGUGAGUUUCACUGACUGGACAAGGGUGAGGAUUAGCACAAUAGACGUCACCCACAGCUGCCCAUUACAAAAGACACAGAACAUCUCUUGCAUUGCAUUGCUAGCAAGGUGCAGCAGCUUUCUGAGGUCACGUGCAGUUUUGAAGUCGGUACGUAAACAAGCUCACCUAGAAAGUGUUUCCUGGUGUGUUUUUAGAUCUCAUUCUCCUGUACUGCCUGAAACAGGCAUCUACCAUGCUUGGUCAUGUGCCCCAGAGAGGACUUCCAAACGAGUGUUCCAAGAAGAUGCUGGACACUUGGAUUUUGGUGUUUGCAGAACAAACUCCUGAAAACCAAACAAGUCUUAAGGAAGAUGUGUAUUCCAGUCUGUGGUUUCUGCGAAAAGUGCUUCCCCACCAAAAUAUAUCCCACACCUAAUGAAGAGUCAAGAGCAGUUCUAAGGAACAGAUUUCUCUGGGCCUGGUGGUGAUAAGCCUGUAUUUGUAUAGGGGAAGAAUGGAGGUCAUUUCAGCCUCUUUACUAAAUAUUUGGAUUUUAAAUAGGUGCAUGAGUGCAAAUGUGUACCAUGCGUCAGUGUCUUUUUCAGGCACCAGAGAAGCUGUUUGUUGUACAGGAGGAUAUUUGAGAAGGAUUUAAGAAAUGGGUAGGAGCCUAUGUAAAUUUAGUAGAGCUUGAAAAGCUUCUGAGCUCUGUCCCAUAACACUGGUUUACCAGCAAAUCUCAAUAUUGGCCUUAGGUAAAAAUCCUCUCCUGUAGGGAUAGUUUAUACAACAUCCCUGUUAGGUGUUGCCUUGCAGCCGGCACAUGGAUGAGCAGGCAUCUCUCCACAACACAACACACACAGACACAAUUGCUUAAAGUGAAAUCUCUGUGCACACGUUUAGCCUCAGAAAACAACUCCACAGUGCUGGCUGAUGGUGGGGUUGUGUCCCAUGCUGGCAUUUCAAUGGAGGCCUCUAAUCCCCUCAUUUCAGUCUCCCAUAGAGAGACAGCAAUUUGCCCUCCGGACCCAUGUGAUUUCUCGCUUAUUUGUUCAGAUUCAGGGUGUGUUUCAGAUUAAGGGCCUGAUACAAAAAGACACUUCACCCUAUGUACACAAAGGUAUGGUGAAGAGCAGAUCCCACCCACCUCUGUUUGAGGGAAAGCAUUACCACAACAAAAUCUGUCAGGGAUAAUACUGGAGGAGGUUUCAUGUACCAGAGCAAAGAACCACACUAGCAAAAGCUGGCAUAAUAUAAAUACCUCAAGGACAAAGAUUUCUUCCACUAAAGAGACAAGGAGUAAGGAAUUAAAGGUAAGAAGAGCAUACAUCCAUAAAUGUGGUGUCUA